rnacentral:rRNA from 1 species
CUAUACAUGCAGUAGAACGCUGAAGAGAGGAGCUUGCUCUUCUUGGAUGAGUUGCGAACGGGUGAGUAACGCGUAGGUAACCUGCCUUGUAGCGGGGGAUAACUAUUGGAAACGAUAGCUAAUACCGCAUAACAAUGGAUGACACAUGUCAUUUAUUUGAAAGGGGCAAUUGCUCCACUACAAGAUGGACCUGCGUUGUAUUAGCUAGUAGGUGAGGUAAUGGCUCACCUAGGCGACGAUACAUAGCCGACCUGAGAGGGUGAUCGGCCACACUGGGACUGAGACACGGCCCAGACUCCUACGGGAGGCAGCAGUAGGGAAUCUUCGGCAAUGGGGGCAACCCUGACCGAGCAACGCCGCGUGAGUGAAGAAGGUUUUCGGAUCGUAAAGCUCUGUUGUAAGUCAAGAACGGGUGUGAGAGUGGAAAGUUCACACUGUGACGGUAGCUUACCAGAAAGGGACGGCUAACUACGUGCCAGCAGCCGCGGUAAUACGUAGGUCCCGAGCGUUGUCCGGAUUUAUUGGGCGUAAAGCGAGCGCAGGCGGUUUGAUAAGUCUGAAGUUAAAGGCUGUGGCUCAACCAUAGUUCGCUUUGGAAACUGUCAAACUUGAGUGCAGAAGGGGAGAGUGGAAUUCCAUGUGUAGCGGUGAAAUGCGUAGAUAUAUGGAGGAACACCGGUGGCGAAAGCGGCUCUCUGGUCUGUAACUGACGCUGAGGCUCGAAAGCGUGGGGAGCGAACAGGAUUAGAUACCCUGGUAGUCCACGCCGUAAACGAUGAGUGCUAGGUGUUGGAUCCUUUCCGGGAUUCAGUGCCGCAGCUAACGCAUUAAGCACUCCGCCUGGGGAGUACGACCGCAAGGUUGAAACUCAAAGGAAUUGACGGGGGCCCGCACAAGCGGUGGAGCAUGUGGUUUAAUUCGAAGCAACGCGAAGAACCUUACCAGGUCUUGACAUCCCGAUGCUAUUUCUAGAGAUAGAAAGUUACUUCGGUACAUCGGUGACAGGUGGUGCAUGGUUGUCGUCAGCUCGUGUCGUGAGAUGUUGGGUUAAGUCCCGCAACGAGCGCAACCCCUAUUGUUAGUUGCCAUCAUUCAGUUGGGCACUCUAGCGAGACUGCCGGUAAUAAACCGGAGGAAGGUGGGGAUGACGUCAAAUCAUCAUGCCCCUUAUGACCUGGGCUACACACGUGCUACAAUGGUUGGUACAACGAGUUGCGAGUCGGUGACGGCGAGCUAAUCUCUUAAAGCCAAUCUCAGUUCGGAUUGUAGGCUGCAACUCGCCUACAUGAAGUCGGAAUCGCUAGUAAUCGCGGAUCAGCACGCCGCGGUGAAUACGUUCCCGGGCCUUGUACACACCGCCCGUCACACCACGAGAGUUUGUAACACCCGAAGUCGGUGAGGUAACCUUUUGGAGCCAGCCGCCU